UGAGACCAUCCUGGCCAACAUGGUGAAAUAUAAAAUUUUUAGUCUGUACCAAAUUUAGUUAAAUUUAGUUAAUUUAGUGAAAUACUAAAUUUUUAGUCUGUACUAAAAAUACAAAAAUUAGCGGGGCAUUGUGGUGCACACCUGUAAUCCUAGCUACUCGGGAAGGUGAUGCAUGAGAAUCACUUGAACCCAGGAGGCGGAGGUUACAGCGAGCCAAGAUUGAACCAUUGCACUCCACCCUGGGCGACAGAGUGAGACUUCAUCUAGGGAAAAAAAAAUGCUCUGUACAGAGAAGCUAGAGACUUCUUGUCUCUGAGCCUCAGUUUUCCCAUCCAUAAAAUGAGGAUUAUAACAUUUGCCAGAUAGGGUUGUUGCGGGGAAUUAAAAUAAAUGGAAUAUACAAGCAGUUUAGCAUCAUUGUCCUCAUUAUGACUUAAGGAGUGAGCAUGUUGCUCUGUGCGGGCCUUUUUUAUCUGCAUGACCUCAUUCAGUCCUCACUAUGGUCCUACUAGACAGAUGGCAGAGCUGGAACCCAGAGAGGUAGAGUGAUUUUCCCAGGGUUGUUCAGCUUUACAGUGGCAGAGCCUGACCUGAAACCCAGGGAGUGUGACCCCAGCUUUCAGGCUCUGGGUCUCUUCCACUACUUCUUCUUUAAAUAAUAAUAAUAAUUGUUAUUAUUAUUUUAGAGACAGGGUCUCCUGCUCUCAAGUGAUCCUCCCGCCUAAGUGCUGGGAUUACAGACACGACCACCGCACCCGGCUCUCCCGGGGCUUCUGAUCCAAAGCAGGUUGUUAUCCAUGCUCAGUGUAAGGUUGAAAUCUAUAGUGGGAAUACAAAGACAGGAAGAGUCAUUCUAAGAAGGGUUCUUGGAUGGGGGCAAGAUUUGAGCUAAAAUUUUCCAAGGAAAAGCAGGAUAUUAGGAGGAGGAAAGUGGGACAGAGGGGAGGCCUUGCUAGGCAGCAGCUACAGUUGGAACAAAGUCGGGGCAGUGGAGACACAGGAGGCAUACUGAAGAGUCGCAGGAAGAUUCAGCCUACCGCUGAAGCCUCCAUGGCAGAGAAGUGAGCAGGGGCUUCCCAAUUGGAGCUAUUUCUUUACAAAAAGGAGCUGUCAUUUUUCUUUUCUUUCUUUUUUUUUUUUUUUUUUUUUUUUGGCUGGGGGGACGGAGGCUUACUCUGUCACCCAGGCAGGAGUGCAAUGGCGUGGUCUCAGCUCACUGCAAGCUCCACCUCCUGGGUUCAGGCGAUUCUCCCGCCUCAGCCUCCCAAGUAGCUGGGACUACAGGCACAUGCCACCAUGACCGGCUAAUUUUUGUAUUUUUAGUAGAGAUGGGUUUCACUAUGUUGACCAGGCUGGUCUUGAACUCCUGACCUCGUUAUCCUCCUGCCUUGGCCUCCCAAAAUGCUGGGGUUACAGGAGUGAGCCACUGUGCCCGGCCGUGGAGCUGUCAUUUUUCUUCCAGGUCCCUUCACAAAUCCAUCAGACUGAAGUGCCAUGUGGGCAAGGACUGGCUGGGUAUCCUCUGCUGUUGCAGCCCCAGUGCUUAGCACAGUGUCUGGACCAUGGUAGGCACUAGACAUUUGCUGAAUGAAUGGAAAUGGGAGGGUAUGUAUUCUCGUCCAUUUCUUAUUUUUGACAGACUUACUCCUCUGUGACCCUACAACCUUGUCUCUCCCUGCAAAGAAAUCAGACUGAAAGUGGAGUGGGGGUGGGAAUUAGGGGAGGGAUAUGAUGGAAACCAGCCCCACUGACAAGCAUUUAUCUCAAGAUACUGAAGCCACAGCCAAAUCCCUUUCCCAGCACCUGUUCACUAGGGUGCAUUGGGAGCCAAUUCUCCAGUGGUUUUUCAAGUCUUACAAGCAGAGCCACUGACUGCCUUUUGUUCUGGACUACCUUUCCAUGCAAAUAGCCUUGGAAGGCAGAGCCUGUGGCUCUCUGAAUUAAAGGGCAAGCAUGCUUACUGCCCUUAUAAAAGAUUAUAAAAGAUUUAGGUUCUUCAAAUCAGUGUCAGUCUCUUGUAAUGCAACACACUGUGGGUGAACUCAUACAGCUGAACUCAUCUGUGUCACCCAUGUCGAGUUGCCAGUUAAAAUACAAGACUUCCCCUUCAAUUUGAAUUUCAGAUAAAUAAAGAAUACUUUUUUUAGGAAUACUUUUUUAGUAUAUGCACAUCCCAUGCAAUAUUUGGGACAUGCUAAAAAUGUAUUCAUUGUUAAUCUAAAAUUCAAAUCCAACUGGGUGCUCUAUAUUUUUGUUUUCUAAAUCUGGCAGCCCUACUCCCGUGGGACUUGGGGGUAAGAGGAACUAAUGCAAAUAUGUUGAUACUUAUGCUGCUUCUCAUGCUGUGAGGAAUAAAAUCUUUUGUCUCUGACCCAGGAAUCUUGUGUGUUCUGUUAGCACUCAAGUUAGCUACCAUGUAGGGUAAAAUCUUAUGCUCUCCACAGUUCUUAGUAGAUAUCCCCAACCUAAGCUUGG
rnacentral:lncRNA from 1 species